GUGCCAGCAGCCGCGGUAAUACGAAGGGGGCUAGCGUUGCUCGGAAUCACUGGGCGUAAAGGGUGCGUAGGCGGGAUCUUAAGUCAGAGGUGAAAGCCUGGAGCUCAACUCCAGAACUGCCUUUGAUACUGGGAUUCUUGAGUUCGGGAGAGGUGAGCGGAACUGCGAGUGUAGAGGUGAAAUUCGUAGAUAUUCGCAAGAACACCAGUGGCGAAGGCGGCUCACUGGCCCGAUACUGACGCUGAGGCACGAAAGCGUGGGUAGCAAACAGGAUUAGAUACCCUGGUAGUCC
rnacentral:rRNA from 1 species